rnacentral:lncRNA from 1 species
CUCAACAUGUUGUCCUGUUCUGCUUGCUCUUCAGUCUGCUACUCCAUUGCACAGCAUUGUAAUAAACGAUGUAUUAUGUUGUAGAGUUGAAUGCAAUGUGGCACCCCUGGCGCCCGUGCUGUUCAAAAAGAAAAAGAAAAGAAAAAUCCCCAUGAGUGGCUUCCUUGUGCAAGUUAUUUAGUUUUGUGUGUGUCAAUGGUGCUUGAGAGCAUCUCUUCUGCCGUCUGUCGUGGUAAUUUUGCAGAAAAUCCCUUGUGUUUUGUUGAAAUAAACCCGCAGUCCUUCAUUAAGUGGAAAAAAA